rnacentral:piRNA from 1 species
UCACUCAAAGCUCUGUGCCUAGUAGUACCC